rnacentral:rRNA from 1 species
ACUGCAAUGUAGUGCGCGAGGAACAUGCGGCGUGCCUAAUACAUGCAGUCGAGCGAAUGGAUUAAGAGCUUGCUCUUAUGAAGUUAGCGGCGGACGGGUGAGUAACACGUGGGUAACCUGCCUAUAAGACUGGGAUAACUCCGGGAAACCGGGGCUAAUACCGGAUAACAUUUUGAACCGCAUGGUUCAAAAUUGAAAGGCGGCUUCGGCUGUCACUUAUGGAUGGACCCGCGUCGCAUUAGCUAGUUGGUGAGGUAACGGCUCACCAAGGCAACGAUGCGUAGCCGACCUGAGAGGGUGAUCGGCCACACUGGGACUGAGACACGGCCCAGACUCCUACGGGAGGCAGCAGUAGGGAAUCUUCCGCAAUGGACGAAAGUCUGACGGAGCAACGCCGCGUGAGUGAUGAAGGCUUUCGGGUCGUAAAACUCUGUUGUUAGGGAAGAACAAGUGCUAGUUGAAUAAGCUGGCACCUUGACGGUACCUAACCAGAAAGCCACGGCUAACUACGUGCCAGCAGCCGCGGUAAUACGUAGGUGGCAAGCGUUAUCCGGAAUUAUUGGGCGUAAAGCGCGCGCAGGUGGUUUCUUAAGUCUGAUGUGAAAGCCCACGGCUCAACCGUGGAGGGUCAUUGGAAACUGGGAGACUUGAGUGCAGAAGAGGAAAGUGGAAUUCCAUGUGUAGCGGUGAAAUGCGUAGAGAUAUGGAGGAACACCAGUGGCGAAGGCGACUUUCUGGUCUGUAACUGACACUGAGGCGCGAAAGCGUGGGGAGCAAACAGGAUUAGAUACCCUGAUAGUCCACGCCGUACACGAUGAGUGCUAAGUGUUAGAGGGUUUCCGCCCUUUAGUGCUGAAGUUAACGCAUUAGCACUCCGCCUGGGG